rnacentral:rRNA from 1 species
CAGCCGCCACGGUAAUACGUAGGUGGCAAGCGUUGUCCGGAUUUAUUGGGCGUAAAGCGAGCGCAGGCGGUUUCUUAAGUCUGAUGUGAAAGCCCCCGGCUCAACCGGGGAGGGUCAUUGGAAACUGGGAGACUUGAGUGCAGAAGAGGAGAGUGGAAUUCCAUGUGUAGCGGUGAAAUGCGUAGAUAUAUGGAGGAACACCAGUGGCGAAGGCGGCUCUCUGGUCUGUAACUGACGCUGAGGCUCGAAAGCGUGGGGAGCAAACAGGAUUAGAUACCACGUAGUCCCUGUCUCUUAUACA